GCAGCCGCCACCAUCACAUCCUGGUCUUUAACUCUGUCACAGUGCACAUGAGAGCGACCUCUGGGCCAGCAGUGAGAGGCGACCUACUCCAAACUGCCAAGUCGCUACCUACGACACUCAAUUAAGGUGAUAGCAGCGGCAGGGAGACCAGCGGUUGUCAAGGCCACCAGCAGUUCAGGGGAGUCCGCAUCAUCAAACUCCUUGGAGAGGCCUUGCCCAGGACCUGGGAGCCACGACCACCCAGCUCCAGUUCUGUGGUCCAUGUGAGUAGCUAGGAACUUCCAAGGGUGAGCUCAGACGGGGCAGGCUGCAGAAGGCUGGGUUCCCCUUGACUGAGUAGGACCAAUUGGUUCUAUUAGUAGCCUCACCCGUGAGGCCCGGUUUUCUCAUCACCCUCAGAAAGAUCUCUCGGCACCCUGGAUCCUUCUAGGGGUUUUCAAGGUAGCUCCACCGCGCAGCAGCGCGCAUACAGCUGCCUCAAGGAGCUGGGCAAGAUGGUAUUUGGAGUCCAGGACAUUGCAUUGUUAGAACAUGGGUGCAAGGCCUUGGAGGUGGACAGUUACAAGUCCUUGAUGAUCCUGGGAAUCCCAGAGGACUGUAGCCACCAAGAAUUUGAAGACAUCAUACGGACUCCGCUCAAACCACUGGGCAAGUUCGAAGUGGCUGGGAAGGCCUAUCUGGAGGAAGAUAGGUCCAAGGCAGCUAUCAUUAGGUUGGCAGAGGACCUCAAUUACGACGUGGUGCCCAGGCAGAUCAAGGGCAAGGGCGGUAUGUGGAGAGUGGUCUACAUGCCCAAGUGGCAGGACAUCGAAUUCCUAACCAAGCUCAAUUUGUUCCUGCGGAGAGAGGGCAGGACGGUAGAGGAUGUGGCCCGCAUCCUCAGUCGCGAGCUGUGUCCCACCACAGUAGCUCCCAGAGAGCUACCUUCCAGGGAGUGCAGUCUGUCUCUGCAGGGGGAGAACGCUGACGAGGGGACCACCGCCAAGGCCGAUGAGAUGCCCCCUCUCAAGGACCCAGAGAAGGAGAGCAAGGCUGAAGAGGGCAAGAAGGGCAAGAAGAAAAACAAGAAAAGUCGGCGCCGACAGCAGGCUUCUGAUAAGAAGCCGUGAGGUGAUGUUGGAUGACUGUGGAUGGGGAAUGUGUGUGGCAGGGGGGUGGGAGUCAUCCGAGUGGGAAUGGGAUGACAGUUGGAGGGCACAUAGCAUUUUGGCACUUGAGAGUGAGUGAAUAGGAGGUGCUGGACCAGUGAGUGGCAACUUUUGAGCCAGAUUGAACAUCACCUGAGUGUUUUGCAUGGUAUUUGACUCUGUGAAGAAAACUUACUUAUUUUGGUCAAUGCGGAGGGUUGCAUUUGAGCAUGUUGCUCACUUGCUCUAUCAGGAAACCACAUACUCAGCCCCUCUCUAGGCGAUUCUAGGCAAACUCUCUGUUAGCGAGCUAUAGCUGCAGCGUGAGCCUGGUACAUUCAUCUGUGCUCAUUUGUGGACUGCAGCUGAGUGGGCGUGGCUAACAUGCGGUUGAGGUGGGUCGUCUCUUCCUCUUUUGUUUACUCCACGUGUAUCCUGAAAUGACUCUUAGAUCUUGGAAUAAAGAAGGGUGAAAAAUCCAACAAAAGUGUCUUUGACACUCGGGAGUAAUAAUGGGAGCACUUGGAUACAUCUAAGAGAGCAAAAUUUUCAUUUAACUUUAGAUAAAGUUAAGGGAUCGUAUACGGUUGAGUGUGGGGACACUUUAUUCAUUCAACCAACAAAAAUUUCUCCAACAUCUGGAAUGUGCCAGGUACGGGACACACGGUUAAUGAUUUUUAGUCUUACCCUCAUGGCUCUAAUUCUGUAUUUGAAGAAUUGUGGAUAACGUUUGAGACUGUGCAAGGAGCACAGAAGUGUGUGUAGGGGGUAUUGCUUGAGUAAGGGAAAGCAGCUUCUGACUGAGAAGGGUCCCAGAGACUUGUAAAAAACUUGUAGCAACUGGGAGGCCAGCAGGACCAGUCCCUCAGAGGGAGCCAAAUCCACAAUGGUGCAUGUGACUGUUGCCACAGAGACCACAGAGGGGACAGGUGCCUGCUAGCCAUUGCCUGAAGAGAAGCUCCAUGAUGGCAAGCCUUUGAGACCGUUUUUUGCUAGUCUUGCCAAAACGGGAGCUGACCCCGGAAGAACCUGUCCUGAAGACUCUAGUUGGGAACAAGGGUCACCAUUCUGCCAUCGCCAGAGGCUUGAUGUUGAAGAGAGUUCAGAAGCCAAGGCUGAGACGUGAGCUACCCAUGGGCCCCACUAAGGGCUCUGUUGUUCUGCAUGUGUCCCUAAAAAGCUGUGAUUGUUCAAUAGAUGUCAACUCUCCUUUCCUGAAGGGAGGGUCGGGGUGAGACCCUUCAACCCCGAUUGACACCUGAGGUAGGCGUGUUUAUAAACAUCCCCAAAUUAAAUCCCAGGAGUCAUGUCUUGGAGGAAGAAAAACACUCUUUAAAAAAAUAAAGUGGGGAGGGGGUAGGGCAGACUUCCCAUUGAGAGAGAGAGAGAGAGAGAGAGAGAGAGAGAGAGAGAGAGGAGAGAGAGAGAGAGAGGAGAGAGAGAGAGAGAGGAGAGAGAGAGACUGACUAAGCCAGGCUUGAUGGCUCAUGGAGGUGGGAGCAGGAAGAUCAAGAGUUCGAGGUCAGCCUUGACUGUAUAGCAAGUUUGAGGCCAGUCUGGGCUACAUGGUGUUCUAUCUCAAUAAAUAAUAAUUGGUUCUCAAGUCUAUAAACUGAGUAUUAUGUGAGGGUGGCAAAGAGGAAAAAUAUUGGGAGCGUAGCACAAAGGUCCCUGAGCCCACAGAUCUCCAGAGAAACCAGGGAUAUUGAACACACAGGAUUGUCUUUCCAACGGGAAAGAUGAGAAACCUGUUCUUCCAUCCAGGAAGCUGGGAACCGGAAGUGAUUAACAUUAACAGCCUGCCUGAGACAUGCAUGCAUUUCCCGGUAUUUCUCAUAUGGCCACUGUAUCUGUGACAGGCAACAUGGAUCAUUAUUAAAUGCUGCCCACAAAUCCAGAAUCCAGAGACAAUUUCCUCAGGGAGAUUGUUGGGACCAGGUGACAUUUCCUGACGUUGCACUGCAGGCUGUUGUGUGACUGGAACAAUUUGGUGCUUACUGCGCCCAUGCUGCCGAUGUCAGGCAGAAAUCCCCAAGUAAACUACAACAACCUUCUUUGUUCUUUGUGGUUGAUGCUCCACUGUAUGCAUAUGAACUAAUAAAUAAUGAUGCUAAUGAAA